UACAGAGGGUGCAAGCGUUGUUCGGAAUUAUUGGGCGUAAAGCGCGUGUAGGCGGCUUUGCAAGUCGGGUGUGAAAGCCCUCAGCUCAACUGAGGAAGUGCGCCCCGAAACUGCAGAGCUUGAGUGCCGGAGAGGGUGGCGGAAUUCCCCCAAGUAGAGGUGAAAUUCGUAGAUAUGGGGGAGGAACACCGGUGGCGAAGGCGGCCACC
rnacentral:rRNA from 1 species